CGUAAACACUUUAAAAAAACAUUGUCGUUCUGUCGGAGGAGUAUUUGAUUCUUUUCUCAGAUCUAUAUUAUACUUCCGAGCUUUCGCUAAUGGUUUUUCAUCAGAUCUAUUUUGUUUGUAAACCAAAUUUUCACUUCUCAUCUGGAAUUAUUCAUUACGUUUCUUUUGGGUUGAACAAACCUCCUUUUUUCACUUCUGAAUUCCAAAUUCUUGAUUAAUCGAAGAUUAUCAGAAUAUGUGUCAUAUAGAGAGAGCCAUGGCAUGCAGGGUUUCAUCCAUGGCAGAUUAAUAACCCCCAAGGAGGAUGGUGAUUCUAAAAUGAAGGUAUAGGACACAACUUAGAGGUGGAAAAGAUCAGAUGCACUUGUCAUAUAGAUCAGUGCUUCAUAUAGAGGUUUCUAUAGGAGGCCACCACCAAAAAAGAUGUUUCUUUUAUAUUGCUGUGGAAAAGGAUACAAUUUCUACCAAAGAUUUGUGUAUCUUUAUCGUUUUUUCACUUGCUUAUAUUCCAUUUUGAAUGGAUUACUUAUAUGCAGCAAAUGCCAAUGUUUCCAACUUUGUAUGGGUGAAUCUUUCCUAGAUCACAACUACUAUCUUUGGAAGAUUGCCUCAUGAAGAGUUACAAUAUGAUAGGCAUAGUAGCUGCAACAUUUAUCUUUAAUAGGAAAAAAUAUGACAACUUUGUCAAAGGUUGGAUUUUUGGUUCAAUUCAAUACAACAUUCUUGUCAAAGGUUGGAUCUUCGGUUCGGUUAAUUUUUACAAAACAAAACGAUAGUCAUUUUGUAGGAAACAAUAUCACAACUUUGUCAAAGGUUGGAUCUUUGGUUCAUUUCAUUACAACAUUCUUGUCAAAAGGUUGGAUCUCCAGUUCAGUUGUUUUUCACAAAACAAUACGAUAAUAUGGCAUUGGUUGUUAAAGUUUGAUCUUUAGUUCAGUUAGUUUUCACGAAAAAAUACAACCGUCUAUCAAAGGUUGGAUUUUCUGUUCAAUUAGAUUUCCAAUUAAUUUUUAUGAAACAAUAUGAUAGUCUUGUCAAAGGUUAGACAAAUAUGUAAAAGGUUGGAUCUUUGAUUCAAAUAGUUUUCAAGAAACAAUAUAACAAUCUUGUCAAAGGUUGAAUUUCAGUUCGGUUUGUUUUCAUGAAACAAUGUAAUAGUAUUUUUGAAGGUUAGAUCUUAAUUUGAUUAAGGUUAGAUCUUUGAUUCAAUUAGUUUGCAUUUGCUUCAUGCAACUGGACUCAAUGGAACUAAACAAGCUCUGCAGUGUUAUUUAUUUUAUUUUUUUGUGUGUUGUUGAACAAAAUGUAGUGGCUGUUGGUGUACCUUUGGAAAUGAUGGCAACAAUGGGAAAGAAAUGUCUGAAACAAAGCUUGUUUUUAAUCAUAUUUAUAGUUCAGUUCUCACCUCACUGUUUCCUUAGUCUUGUUGUUAAAGGUUCUCAUAUCUUGUUAUCGAGAUUGACUGAGAUAGAAAUUUAUGAAACCAAAACUGCAUUAUUUUAACAAAA